rnacentral:rRNA from 1 species
UACGUAGGGUGCAGGCGUUAAUCGGAAUUACUGGGCGUAAAGCGCACGUAGGUGGUUUGUUAAGCUAGCUGUGAAAUCCCCGGGCUCAACCUGGGCACUGCAGUUAGAACUGGCAAGCUAGAGUAGGGUAGAGGGGUGUGGAAUUCCAGGUGUAGCGGUGAAAUGCGUAGAUAUCUGGAGGAACAUCAGUGGCGAAGGCGACACCCUGGACUCAUACUGACACUGAGGUGCGAAAGCGUGGGGAGCAAACAGG